GAGCGUCAGCUCAGCGAGAGAAUGGCCGUGGGAGUCCAGGAAUGCCUUCGGUUGUCUGAAAGGUGUCUGCACAGACACCCAUGCCUGUGUGGUCCCCCUCCUCCGAGCAUGCUGCUGUUGGGCACCUCCCUCGUUAAGCUCAGAAUGAACACGCUGCAGCCAUGAAAUUAAAAGACUCUUGCUCCUUCGAAGAAAAACUAUGACCAACCUAGACAGCAUAUUAAAAAGCAGAGACAUCACUUUGUCAACAAAUGUCCAUCUAGUCAAAGCUAUGGUUUUUCCAGUAGUCAUGUACGGAUGUGAGAGCUGGAGUAUAAAGAAAGCUGAGCACCGAAGAAUUGAUGCUUUUGAACUGUGGUGUUGGAGAAGACUCUUGAGAGUCCCUUGCACUGUAAGGAGAUCCAACCAGUCCAUCCUAAAGGAAAUCAGUCCUGAAUAUUCACUGGAAGGACUGAUGCUGAAACUCCAAUACUUUGGCCACCUGAUGCAAAGAACUGACUCGUUGGAAAAGACCCUGAUGCUGGGAAAGACUGAAGGCAGGAGGAGAAGGGGACGACAGAGGAUGAGAUGGUUGGAUGGCAUCACCGACUCAAUGGACGUGAGUUUGAGUGAACUUCAGGAAUUGGUGAUAGACAGGGAAACAUGGCGUGCUGCAGUUCAUGGGGUCGCAAAGAGUCAGACAUGACUGAGCAACUAAACUGAACCCUCCUAAGUGGCAGAUUUCUUGAAAAUUUUU